rnacentral:rRNA from 1 species
AUUGAACGCUGGCGGCAGGCUUAACACAUGCAAGUCGAGCGAGCGGCAGACGGGUGAGUAAUGUCUGGGAACCUGCCUGAUGGAGGGGGAUAACUACUGGAAACGGUAGCUAAUACCGCAUACCAUGAGAUGUGCCCAGAUGGGAUUAGCUAGUGGGUGGGGUAAUGGCUCACCGAGGCGUCGAUCCCUAGCUGGUCUGAGAGGAUGACCGGCAACACUGGAACUGAGACACGGUCCAGACGCCUACGGGAGGCAGCAGUGGGGAAUAUUGCACAAUGGACGAAAGCCUGAUGCAGCCAUGCCGCGUGUGUGAAGAAGGCCUUCGGGUUGUAAAGCACUUUCAGCGAGGAGGCGUUACUCGAAGAGGAAGCACCGGCUAACUACGUGCCAGCAGCCGCGGUAAUAC